rnacentral:rRNA from 1 species
CCUACGGGAGGCAGCAGUGGGGAAUCUUUCACAAUGGGCGAAAGCCUGAUGGAGCAACGCCGCGUGCAGGAUGAAGGCCUUCGGGUUGUAAACUGCUUUUAUAAGCGAGAAAUAUGAUGGUAACUUAUGAAUAAGGAUCGGCUAACUACGUGCCAGCAGCCGCGGUCAUACGUAGGAUCCGAGCAUUAUCCGGAGUGACUGGGUGUAAAGAGUUGCGUAGGUGGCAUAAUAAGUAGCUAGUGAAAUCUGGUGGCUCAACCAUUCAGACUAUUAGCUAAACUGUUAAGCUCGAGACCGUUAGGGGUAACUGGAAUUUCUAGUGUAGGAGUGAAAUCCGUAGAUAUUAGAAGGAACACCAAUAGCGUAGGCAGGUUGCUGGGACGGUUCUGACACUAAGGCACGAAAGCGUAGGGAGCAAACGGGAUUAGAUACCCCUGUAGUC